UAACCCACAAUAACAAAUUAUAACCGAUUCGCCUAUUGUCUCACACACAAGCUGGCAUGAGCACCGAGAGAGAGAGUCAUUAGCGUAGCCUACUGUAUGUACCCAUAAAGAUGAUCACUGUCAGAUGUAACCAGCCAUCAAUAGUUUAACAAUUAAUUAUGAAAAUAUAUAGUGAAUGUAAAAAAUAUAACCCAUAAAAUAUUAAGGUUACUUAUUCAUGUAAUUAUGAUUUCUCUUGACUGUAUAGUUAAUUUGCAUGUUCAUUCAUACAAACCUAUGUAAUAUUUAACUGAUACAUUUUUUGUUCUUUUUUUCUCCCUUUUCAUUCUCAGAUAUUAAACCAUAUACCAUAUAUUAUUUUUUUUUUUUCAACUUUAGUUUUAAACCAUUAAGAUAAUGUUUGUCUUCUCUCUUUUGAGUAUUGAUUGCCAUGUAGUCCUGAUUGCAGAGUUAAGCUCCAGCCCCAAUCCUGUACUGCUGAAGCAGCUGAUAAAGGUCUUCAGUAUCACCACAAACUUCCAGGCAGGUGUGUGGACAGGCUGGAGAUAAACUCUGCAGGAUGUUGGUCCUCUAGGUAGGACACCACUGUUUUUGUGUCAGAUGCAGAUAAAGAGUCACCAGGAACAGGUCACUGCAUCUUUUGUCAUGUAGGUGCUGGAACAAAAAGCAGCCAGGCCACAGCAUCUAAAAUGGAGACUUCUAUUAAAGUGGCUCUGUAACGUAAGAGACUUGGACAGUGGAAGGAGCAGAAGAACCAGAAGAUCAGCGAUCAGGCAGAGCUCUACUGGUGCCCCUUAGGGGAUUGAUUUAUCUAUAAUUAUCUAUAAUAUCUACCUAAUGUUCUGAUGUAGUUAUAAUUGGUCAUUGUUCUGUUUUAUAAAAUCUAUUCAAUAUA